UACGAAGGGGGCUAGCGUUGCUCGGAAUCACUGGGCGUAAAGCGCACGUAGGCGGCUUUUUAAGUCAGGGGUGAAAUCCUGGAGCUCAACUCCAGAACUGCCUUUGAUACUGAGAAGCUUGAGUCCGGGAGAGGUGAGUGGAACUGCGAGUGUAGAGGUGAAAUUCGUAGAUAUUCGCAAGAACACCAGUGGCGAAGGCGGCUCACUGGCCCGAUACUGACGCUGAGGCACGAAAGCGUGGGGAGCAAACAGG
rnacentral:rRNA from 1 species